AUGCCCCUUUCCUCAGCCAGAAAUAAAUUUCUGAUGUAACAUAGAUUAAGGUCUUGUAAUCUCAGCUGCAGGGGAUCAAAAAAGACACCAGGGGGCAAGACCUGGGACAGCUGGAAAGCACCAACGCAGAGAAUCUCUUGGGUGAGAAAAGGUGCCGAGGAAACCAAAACUGGGCUCUAAUCCUCACCUGGGAAGUGCCUGCCAUCUCAGGACUUCACAACAAGGCUUUGCAGUCUAAGGAAGGGCUCAAGCAGUUGGGAAAAUGUUUCCCCUCUUGCAUUCAGAUCUCAACAGAGAGCAGAAGGCACAGAUCCAAACUAUGGUGAGAGAGAUCACAGAAGGAGAUGCUCCACAGCUAGACUUAGGAAAGAAGGUGAGCAUCCCUCAGGAUCUGAUGGUGGAGGAGCUAUCCCUGCCCAUAAACAGGGGUUCCAGGCUGUACCAGAAGAGGCAGAAGAGAGUGCAGCGCUUUGUAUUGGAGCAUCCUACAGACUACAGAAUUAUCUCAAAUGCAUCUGGAGCUGGAGAAGGCUCAUAUGCCAAUUACAAUGCAACUGGAGCAACAAAAGGACAGAUGUCUGUCCCUAAUGCUGAGGGGAAGGAAAAUGAUCAGGCUGGGCUUUAUGUGGCCGGCUCAGGAAAGGGGACACCCCCCAAAGUAGCCAAGAAAACAAGCAAAGUCCUGCAGAUGAGCAAAGCCCUGAAUCCUGAUGCCAUCGCUCCAGGCUAUUCUGGACCUCUAAAAGAAGUACCACCAGAGAAGUUCAACAGAACAGCCAUCCCCAAAGGCUACCGGUCCCCCUGGCAGGAGUUCCUUACCGGUGAGGACUACCAGGUAAAGCGAGAGAACCAUUUGCCUGAACCUCCCAGGAAAGUGAAUAGCUUUGACCUCAGGAGCUUCAACAGAUAUAUGGCUCACCUUUCAAUCCAGAUUGGAUCAAGGUGGUAACAUUUUAAAAGCAGAAGUUACAAUCUAUAACUAAUUCAUCUGUUAGUAUGCCCAUUAGCCACUGGUGCAGGAACACAUGAUCCAGGAGGUACACAAAGUAAUCACAAUGACACAGGUUCAAGUUUGCCAGCCAGCCACCUUCUGUCACUGGCUGCCACAACUGGAGGAUUCAAACCCCAGAUAUUUCUAGCUAAGCUGGUCUUGUUAGUAACGUGUGUGUGAUUGCUUGCAUAGUGCAUUGCAUUUGCUGUGCAAGAGGUGGAACCCCCACGGGACCAGGAAUAGAGCUUGGAAAGUUUCUGGGUAGGACUAUAUUCAGGAGUCACAGAAAACCUGAGAGUUAUUUUUAAAAUUACACUUUAUAUUUCAACAAAGUCUAAAUAAGAAGAAUUUGACUAUUUGCCCAAUCAGUUGCUCACAUUUUCUUUGACUGAUCAUAUGUCAAGAUGCAAUGGCACAAAUUCUCUUUAUUUAAGGGGAAAAUAUAAUUUCAAAGCCCAAGCAAGAAUUUCUAAGAUCAAAAGAUUCACAAGUGCUUCAGAUGGGCUGCACUGAACAUGUCGUCAUCGUUGCUAAAACUGGGACACAGACAGAUCCCAGAGUUGACUAAAGAGCCACAAUCUUUACCUUUCCAUAGUUUCAGUGGAUGCAGUGGUCAUACAUGCCACCCUGGACUCCUAAUAACAACAACAACAACGCUAAGCCUAGGGAGGGUCAUAAGACCCAGCCUGAGCAUUACUGAAACAGUCUUAGCUUCCAAAGCACAGCUACUUGCAGUUACAUCUUUCUUCCUCAGCUGAUAAACACGGCCACUGCUGUAGCUGGUGCCUGAGCAGUAACUGUGUUGAGCUGGGUGCACCAGCUUUUCACCCAACUCCUUCCAUCAGCUAACUGGCCCAGCUAGCAUUCCAGUGUCAUGCUCACCCUAGCAUCUUUAUCCCUGCUUUCUCCUUUCUGGAAAACAGCCCUGAGCAGAGAAAUUGAAAAAAGCAGCUUGCAUUACAUCAUAUCCUACUCUUACGUUGGAGGUGAGCCACAUCCUGCAUCUCAGAGGCUGGGUGAGCCAGAUAACAAGACAGCCAGCAGGAAACAAGGCUUACUUUCUCAAACAAUUGCUCUGCAUGGAGAAAUUCAUGCUAGCAAUACUGCUUCUGUGCAAGGAGAUUCAAAUCAGCACAGUACAGUGGAGCUGGGGAAAGACCCUGGCUUCUGCAUGAUACAAGGUGUGUCAGUUUCUGAUGACUGUUAGUCCAAACAGCAGUCCAGGAGCAAAUUGCAAGGUGGGGCGGGGGAGGGCAAUGUAAGUGGGCAACUUCUCCAAUAGUGGUUGCUGUAGAAAAAUCCUUAGAGUACUUAGUCUGCUGUCCUCAACAUAUUUUUAUCCUCAGUUUGACGCUACAGCGCUAAAUCAAUUGGGGGAAGAUGCUAUCUAGCCUCAAUCAUGCAUGACGUGCCUUCUCCAAUUUAAGUAAAUGUAACCAGAUUCUCUUCUGUGAGUUAAGAGAUAGGCAAAAAUGGCUCCAAUACAAACACUCUUCUUUUUCAGACCAUCCUAUUCUUUAAAAUACUUGUAUUUCCUUUUACUUACCUUUUGAGCAUGAGGAUUUUCUGGCUCCUGCCAACCUCCACUGGCUGCAACAUAAUAACACAAAUUUUAAAAGGCCAGGGGUGGGGAAAAAUCAUAGUUCACGCACUGGUCCAAAAUAAAUAUACAAAAUUGCUGCCUGCUUCUCUUCCCUUCUCAUCCCAGAUCACAGUUCAUUGUAUCUGGUAUUUUUAGUAUCAAGAGUGUCAGAUACCGCAAACAUUACCCUCUCCAGCAUGCCCUGAGGCAGACAACAGAACUGCACAAUAUACCAGCAAAGAUGUGUUUUCUAUACUCGUGUCUACAGGUCAACAUGAAUGCAGGUCAUGAAUUCUAGGGAAGAAUUGGUAGAAGAUUAUUGCCAGGCAAGGGAAAUGGCUUAUCCCAUCUUGCACCUGCCAGUUUUCUCCUACAAAUGUCCCCUCUCCCUGAUAACUAUUCCCCCUACCCAGACUACUUUGGGGUUUUAGAGCCCAGCUAGGGGAAAACACAGUAGAAACAUAGCUGGGAGUGCAGAAUUAACUGCAUGCCUUCCCAUCAAAACUGCCCCUAUGAACUGCUGCUCGUGCACAGUUAUCUCAUGCUUCUGGGACAUAUCCCAGCAACAGAGGAAAGCAUAAAGGUGCUAGCCCUGGAAUCUCUGGAGGAGCAGAUAUUCAACGGUAUUGACUGAAGGGAAGCAAACAAUGCUCGCUCCCCUUCAACCAGCACAAAGAACCACCAGGCGUAGAAGCUCUAGAGAGGCUGCCUCCACACCCCAAGAGCUUCUGAGACAAGUUGCUAGCCUUCUCAGGAUCCUCUUUCUUGCCAGCUCCCUGGAGUCACCAGGGGAUAAAACUACUUUCAACGCACAGAAGGGCUGUCCCUUUAUCACUAAAAAAAUAUUGAGGGAAGGGAGGUACAAGACCUCUGCAGUUUGGAGCCGAUAAAGUCUACAAUGCAAGGUUUUUAUUAUGUUUUGUAAUUUUGUUUUAUGAUUGAUUUUCUCUUAUAUAUUUUUAUAAACUGGGUUAUAUCCAACAAAGUCAUCCUGUUAGCACAACCUGUGCAAUGCGACUUCCUCUCUCCCUGUAUGCCCACAAAUACGCUCCAGAGGGUUGAAGGCAUCUUCAGAACUAAUAUGGGGGUGUGUGUGAACAUGGUCAGAGGAAUUCCUGCAGCACAGGCAGAUGUCCUUGCUCUAUCAGGAUGGCUUAAUCGGAUACAAACUACUCUUCUUCACCGCUUAGAUGUUUUAUAUCAGGGGUGGGGAACCUCUGGCCCAUGGGCCAAACUUAGCCCACCAGACUGUUUUGGGCAAGCCGCACCCACCCAUCAUACAUCUGAUGUUAUAUGUGGCGUCAGUUGUGAGGCAGGUGUGGGUGGGGCUUCAGGAGCUUAAAGUGAGCUCAUAAUUGCUCCUUUCAUAGAGGAACACGUGCCCCCACAGCCCAUCAGUUGAUGGCCAGGAGGAGUGUGCCAUGUUCCCGAAAAGGAAGUGGAUUCCAUAGAAUGGAAACUGUCCUCCCUGUGAAAACCAGAGGUUCAAAGCGCAGCACAGGCUGUCUGAAAGCCCUUUUGCAAACAGCCCCACACUGCUCUUUGAACCUCCAGUUUUCAGAGGUUUAAAGAACAAUGAAGGGGCAUUUGGAAAAGGGCUUUUAGACAGCCCACACUAUGCUUUAAAGUUUUGACAACCAGGGCUUCAAAGCACAGCAUCACCUGAUGUCAUAGUGACAUCACGUGAUUCUCCAUCCACACGACCAAUUUGGCCCAGAAGAGAUGGGAAGAUAAGGAUCUGGCCCACCAGCCAGAAUUAUUAUUAUUUAUUUGAUUGAUAUCCCGCCCGUUCUGCCAGUAGGAGUCCAGGGCGGCAAACAAAAACUUCCACAUUUGUUUUAUAUUAUGCAAUUUAUAAACAAACAGUACUCCAAAGACACAGGCACUCAUCCUCAGAGUUCAAUUGUGAUGACUUUGGUAACGCAGAAUCAACCACCACCCACCACUGAAAGUUAACUUCCAUUCACUUUUCCCCAUUAGCGUCCAAAUUUUUAGUAUCUAAUUAGCAUGACAAAAAUAGCACUCCACAUUCUAAUAAAGGCCACGUUCACAACAUGCUUAUGCAAGAGUUUUCAAACAACUCUGACAAUGUUCAUCUAAAGCCAUCACCACUCACCAACAGAUUUAUCUGCCAUGCCAACAUCUCUGGAAGUCCAGCGGCAAAAGCCACAAGCCAGGUAAUAAGCUUUCUUCAUCGUGGUCUUGGCUGGAUCAUCAGGCAGUGGAGCAGGGAUGCUGGUUGCUCGGGUAGAAAGAGUGUGCAUACAGCAAGGACAGUCAAAACAGUUAGCACACCUGAAUGAAAAGAGACCAGGAUGAAAUUCUGCAUAAAGAUUGUAUGUCAGGGCUUUAACCUGCAGUUCCAGCCUCCUGAUUUACUGUUUUGUAAUUCAGAAACUGCCUCUGACAACUGUUUUUAAAAAACAAAUUAUAUCUAAUUGUUUCACUAGGAAGAAAGGAAUGGACUUCACAGAAUCAGCCAACAAAAAACAAAAUAAGUUAUUCCACAACCCCCAUCCCUUGUGAAAGGGCAGAAAAGAUGCUGUAAGCAAUUUUUUAGAUCUGGUCACGGUAAACACGCAUGAUUCCAUUAGUGCUUUGAAGCACUUUACAUACGUUCUAUAAAGAUUCAAGGAAAAACAUAAAAGAUGGGAAAGUAUUGUAGAUGUAAAUUCGUUUUAAAAGCCUUCUUACAGCAUGUGAGAACAUCAGCAACAGGGUUAAAAUAAAGCAUUCUACAGUGUGCUUCUUAUGAGAUCUCACCAAAUACAUUGGGAAUGUGAGAAAUGAACAGUCUUGCACUCAAGUGUAAGUUACUGCAACAUUAUUUGUUCUCUACAGUCAGAAGUUGGUAAUAUAGAAUAUAAACAGAAUGCCAGAGGCACCUUCCUGAACUCAAUGACAUUACAUUGUAAAUAAAACCUGUACCACAAGGAUUUUUUUUUUUAAAGUCAGAUUCUUGUAAAGAUGCUGGGAUCAAAACAUGUAAAAUAUGUAUACAAUGAUGCACUGAUCAAAAAGAGACUGUCCUAAAGCAUGAACAAUGGUCUGAUGGGAGUGAAAAUGUAGCCUUACCUGUUCUUCUUCAGCUUGGCUUCAGCUGAUGGCAUGUUUUCCAAGCAACUGGGACAAUAGUGAGAAUCAACCUAAAAAAAAAAUUUACAAAAAGACCCUUUUCAUUCUUCACCAUUACCCUUCUCCAAAUCCUUCCCCAAAACCUUCUACUUAAACGAAGGAAAAAAUGGUCAUUAUGCUCUCAAAACUGCACAAACGUUCAUGUUAUGAACCAGCAAGUCCCCAGCUUGAUUCUUACCUUUGUCACGACUUCACUCGAUGGCCUUACACAAGCCAUUCCCCCACAGCCUUCCAACCCCUCAUCAGUAAUACAAGGACACUAAUACUAAUUUAAUGUACAAAGUUGUUAUAAGAGAUACAACAGCGGUGAAGAACCUUUGGCUCUCUAGAUGUUUCUGAACUACAACUUUAAGCCACAUCUCAAGUAUUUUAUUCAAACAAAAGUCAUUCUCAGGAUAGAAUCUUAUAGCCUGCAACAUCCGCAGACCUACAAUAAUGGGACAGUAAUGUGCCCAGUUAUUCCAAUUGAAAGCAUUUAUCAUCAUUUAGCAAGGAAUGAAACUUCUAAUGAACAAGUAGAUGAAAAUAAAGGUUUUAUUUAAGAUGUGCAAAAGGGAAAAACUUGGCUCAGCAUGGAAUUUACUGGUUAUCUAUACAGGGAAUACAACAUAUCUCCAUCUACAAACUAAUUUAAUAGUCAUUAGGUCUCCCUAAGCUACUGAGAACUGUGGUUCAGUAAAGGGAUCUUUGCCAAAGAAAAGAACACAGUACAAUUCCCAGAGUUCUUUCAUGAAAGUUACAACUGGUAUAAAAAACCAAUGUGAGUUGAUCAUGUAACCCUAAAGGGUCCAAUUUGGCCUUUGAGGCCAUUUACUCCAAACCACACCCACCAGCUGAUGGGCAGGAAGACAGGGUUUAAUCCUGCUUUGGUUGCACCAUACUGUUCCCAAUGGUGAAUAGCACAUUAAUUUCAAUGCCAUAAAUAAAUGUGUCCUGUAUUCUUGGUUUGAUGAUAACACAAAUCUGGUUUUUGAUGUUUCUGGCCAUACAAUCAAGAGUUUAAUGCUUAUCAACAAUGCCAAAAUUAGGUACAGGAGCAGGCUCUAAUCUUUAAACAUCUGUUACUUUACUUAUUUUGCUGUUUAGCAGAGUGAAAAAGGUCUCUAAGCCCAUUCAGUAAUCCUGGGGCCAAGGUAAAAGUUACCCUCAAUUCUUUGCAGCUUAAAGGGGCACAAAAAGAUUUAACAGUGAAAAGAAUUUUACUGAGAGAUAAAUAGUCAUUCUGUGUAACAAGGAAACUCAUACAGUAAAGCUCCUUAUAUCCAAAUAAAUUGGGGAAAAUAACAUUGUCUCAAACAUCCUGCACCAGAAGAAAAGACUGACAAGGAGCCAGUUUCUCUCAGUUUUUAAGAGUGCUGUAUCUCAGUUAUAAUCACUUCUGUGACUUGGACAGAACACAAUUUUAUUGGUGGAGGGGCCAAGGAAACAAUACUCAAGCAUUACACAAGGUACUAGAAGAACAAAUGAGAUGAAUAAAAAUAAAUAAAAAUAAUAAAUAAAUAAAUGAAAACUGAAAGUGAUUACCCUUUGACAUGCUGCAUAAAUAGUAAACAAAAAGUUUAGAAUAAAGAUGUGGCUAAG